AACGAACGCUGGCGGCAUGCCUAACACAUGCAAGUCGAACGAGACCUUCGGGUCUAGUGGCGCACGGGUGCGUAACGCGUGGGAACCUGCCCUUAGGUUCGGAAUAACUCCCCGAAAGGGGUGCUAAUACCGGAUAAUGUCUUCGGACCAAAGAUUUAUCGCCUUUGGAUGGGCCCGCGUUGGAUUAGCUAGUUGGUAGGGUAAAAGCCUACCAAGGCGACGAUCCAUAGCUGGUCUGAGAGGAUGAUCAGCCACACUGGGACUGAGGCACGGCCCAGACUCCUACGGGAGGCAGCAGUGGGGAAUAUUGGACAAGGGGCGAAAGCCUGAUCCAGCAAUGCCGCGUGAGUGAUGAAGGCCUUAGGGUUGUAAAGCUCUUUUACCCGGGAUGAUAAUGACAGUACCGGGAGAAUAAGCUCCGGCUAACUCCGUG
rnacentral:rRNA from 1 species